CGCAUGCAGAAGACAUGCCCAUGA
rnacentral:SRP_RNA from 1 species